rnacentral:rRNA from 2 species
UCGGGAAUUUUCGGCAAUGGGGGAAACCCUGACCGAGCAAUGCCGCGUGAGGGAUGAAGGUCUUCGGAUCGUAAACCUUUGUCUAGAGGGACGAUAAUGACGGUACCUCUGGAGGAAGCCACGGCUAACUACGUGCCAGCAGCCGCGGUAAUACGUAGGUGGCGAGCGUUGUCCGGAAUUACUGGGCGUAAAGGGCGUGUAGGUGGCCUUUUAAGUCAGACGUGAAACUCAUGGGCUUAACCCAUGACCUGCGUUUGAUACUGGAGGGCUUGAGGGCAGGAGAGGAGAGCGGAACUCCGUGUGUAGCGGUGAAAUGCGUAGAUAUACGGAAGAACACCAGUGGCGAAGGCGGCUCUCUGGACUGUACCUGACACUGAGGCGCGAAAGCUAGGGGAGCGAACGGG